AUUGAACGCUGGCGGCAGGCCUAACACAUGCAAGUCGAGCGGAUGAAGGGAGCUUGCUCCUGGAUUCAGCGGCGGACGGGUGAGUAAUGCCUAGGAAUCUGCCUGGUAGUGGGGGAUAACGUCCGGAAACGGGCGCUAAUACCGCAUACGUCCUGAGGGAGAAAGUGGGGGAUCUUCGGACCUCACGCUAUCAGAUGAGCCUAGGUCGGAUUAGCUAGUUGGUGGGGUAAAGGCCUACCAAGGCGACGAUGGGUAACUGGUCUGAGAGGAUGAUCCGUCACCCUGGGACUGAGAGACGGCCCAGACGGGGAAUGGGGGCAGCAGGGGGGAAUCUUGCACAAUCGGCGGGGGUCGUAUGAAGAAACGCCGCGGGUGGUAGGACGGUUUUAGGGGUGGAAACGGCUUUCAGCAGGGGCCAUGCUUGUUGUGACGGUACCUGCAGAAGAAGCACCGGCUAACUACGUG
rnacentral:rRNA from 1 species